rnacentral:lncRNA from 1 species
AAGCAUAGUGCUUAGUGUUGCUCCCUUAGAAAUUCUUCCCUCAAAGCAUCCUGGGGGUCAGCUCAGCCUCAAGUCACUUUGGGACCUCAGGGACAGAUUUUGGGGGGUGGUAAGAAAUGGCAACCAGGUUGGGUGUAGGAUGACCCCUGAGAAAAGCAGUCAGAAGUCCAGAAUAUUAUAUCCCAAAGCACUGGAAAUCAGGCUGACUUCACUGUUUUUGUUCCUGGACUAUGGUCAGGUAAGUAGGGAUUGGUGGAAAGGGUUCUUGCAGCAAGAAUACUGAAAAUUAAAUGAAUUAUGGCUUUGUGGAUCUAUAUAGAUAGAACUCCAAUUGGAGAUCCAGGUGAGGGGUCUGCCAUAAACCAAGGUAUCUGACAAACAGGCAAGGCCCUAGGCGAGACUCUGGACUCAGCAGGGAAAACCAGAGCCUGAAGCAGGUACACCAGGCUGAAAUCAAACCGACAAGGAGAACACAAUAGGGCAGUAAAGGAAAGCUUGACUCAGUUUGUGCAUGGGUUCCCAUGCCUCAUCCCUGGGACUAGGUAGAGUAGGGCUCCUCAAACUCAGCGCUGUGAACAGCUGGGGCUGGACAGUACUCUGUUGGUGGGGGGUUACCCUCUGCAUUGUAGGGUAUUUAAUGACAUUCCUCACCUUUACCCACUAGGUGCUAUUAAUUAAUAUUCCCUCAGCUGUGACAACCAUAGAUGUCUCCAGACAUUGACAAAUAUCUCUGGGUGGAAAAAGUUGCCCUAAUUGGAAACCAUUAGUUGACAGCAAAAGACUAAUUCCUGUCAGCACUGACUGGUGGGACCACUUUCUUGAUCAGAAUUGGUUCAGGAAUAGGCACAGUUGAAUCUGUCAAUUAAGGCUCUCUGGAUCUGCAGACAAGCAGGGCUAGUACUUGACAGAAACUGUCCAAAGACCUUUAGCACUAAAAUGAGAAAAACCAUUAAGUGUUGGAGAGGAGAAGGCUAUCAUUGUGUUUGGAGUUAAGAAGAGGGUGGAGAAGGAAGAUGAAGAUGUCAGGGUGAAGUUAGGUCUAUAAGUCUGAGCCAAGUUGAGAGCUUAUGGUAGAGGCCACGCCUGCUCCAUUGGGCUUGUCUAGACCAAGACCUAUUAUUCAGAACCCCCAGUCCUUGCCAUUUGGUGCACUUUGGUAUCCAAAUCCUACAUUUUGAUAGAGCACUGAGCAAAGGCCUAGGUGGAUCUUUGAUGAUGAAGUCCGUGCUUGUCACUCCAACUUGAUGAUCCACUCUCUUCCAUAUGGCUGUCUGGUUCAUUAUGAGAAGGCUUACAGGAGGCUACAAUGGCAACUUUCCAGCAAUAUGAAUGCUUUGAAGGCUCAGAUGAACUCUGUUAAGAGAAGAAUGCCCAGCAAGGUCCAGGAUAAUGUUUAUGCUGAAUCUUGUCCAAGUUUCUCUUCCUGGGAAAGAUAUUAGCUGACUCUGGAGCUAAGUCUAAGUUGAGGCCAGUGAGACCUGUCCUGUAGCUUCAUCCCCAUAACAAUGGUUGAUACUGGCUUUAUUCAUGGCUUCCUAUCUACUGUUUCCAGAGAUGAUCUUUCACAGUCUUCAAUAAGCCUUCAACUCUCAGGAAUUUUACCAUUUCUAAAUUCAGGAUUUCUGCUAUUUCCUGUGGUUAUAUUGGCCCUAUAAACAGCACAUCUUUCUUUUCAGUGAAGAAAUUAAAUGUCACAUAGUCUGCUCUGAGAAAAGAGCCAAGUUCAGGGCAGAGACUACCUUCCUGGGUACCCCCCAAGAAGGAGUCUUGAUCACUUCUCUAAACAUGCCCUGGAUGUUCCCAGAGCUCAUGAAAACGCUGCUCUCCAGUGGUGCUAGCAGCUCUGAUGAAGGCUAAGUCCAAGCUCUGAAUUCAGGAGAGCAGAGCUGCCUCCUGCUCCCACCACCGUGGUUCUCAGGCAGUAAUGAAAAAUCUUCAUGGAGUGGCAAAAGUUGUUUACCUGAAGCUCACAAGAUGUAUCCAGAAAAUAUCACCAGGGAUCAGAUCAAGCCUGACCCCCAUUUUACAUCUUCUGUAACCAGAAGCACUCCAAGAACAACACUUUCAUUCAUGGACUUAACAACUACAUUAGAUCAUACCAGCCUGUCACUUCAAAGUCACCAGUGUCAAGGAACAUUUCAAAUUGGCUUAAAGCAUUGUUUUGGAGGUGUGAAUAAUGAAGCCAAGGACAUUAGCAACAUCAUGAAAGCAGGCAUCAAGUGAAUAGAGAAGAUUCUAUGGAUGUAGAAGAGGUCCCUGGGUUUCCGAAUUGCCACUGGAUUGCCUCUAUCAAAUACACAAGAGUUUCAUGAGUGAGAAAUAACCUUCUGUUGCUUUAAAUCUUGGGUUGUGCAAUACAUCAGUGAGCCUACCAUGACUAAUACAUUCUAUGGAUGCAGAUUUCUCUUCUCUGGCCAUUGACAUGAGUGUGCUUUCUGGAUGCAGUCACAGGGGACCCAAGAUUCUUGGACAGAAUUCUCGCCGGGAGCCAACUCAGCCUGAUCUGCUGGCAUCUCUCAAGUAUCAGAAGUCAACAAAAUGGUUUGCCUUGAAGACUUGGCCAGAGCAGCAGCCAAAGUUCAUAAGGCUUUCGUAGAGAGAUUGUUUGUCUAAGAAAACAAAAUUCUAAGGGCUCCCAUUGUGCAGCUGGGGUGGCAAAAUGCAAACUAAUAUAAGGAAAAAAAAUGCUUUUCAUUUCCAUGGAAGAAAUGACCCAUCCUAUUGUUGAUAUUUCCUUUUCUGUGCUAACUUAUUCCAUUAAUUAGGCUCUCGUUUUAUGAGAUAAUUUCACUGCAUGCGUAUCUUCUUUUGGUUAUUACACAAGGACUGUUUUCUAUGGUUCAUAUCUAAGUCCAACCCUGGAAAAAUCUUUUUUUUUGAGACAGCCUUUUUUGUUUUGUUUUGAGACAAUACUCCCUCUGUUGCCCAGGCUGGAAUGCAGUGGUGAGAUCAUAGCUCACUGCAACUUCUGCCUCCUAGGCUCAAAAAAUCCUCCCACCUCAGCCUCCCAAGUAGCUGGGAUUGCAGGCAUAUGCCAUCACACCCGGCUAAUUUUUGGAUUUUUAGUAAAGUUUUGCCAUGUUGGCCAGGCUGAUCUUGAACUCCUGCCCUCAAGUGAUCUGCCCACCUUGACCUCCCAAAGUGCUGGGAUUACAGGUGUGAGCUACUGUGCUCAGCUCAGCCAUGGAACAAUCUUGAUGUAUAAUUUAUCUGCAGGUAUCUCCAUCUCUAUUUGCCACUCUUAGUAAAUGUUUUAGUUUGACAGUAAACGAGUUGAGACAUUAAUGAUUGAGAGAGCACCUAAGCAGCUCGAAGUGCUGGGAGUCUCUCCUAAAGAAUUAGAUGCACACAGCAUUUUUCCCUUACAGACACUUCACUGAGCAGUCAUGUUGGACUUGGGUGGCGUCUGCUAUUAGACACACUAUUCACCAAUAAAACCCUGAAAAUUGCAUUGCACAGGACUGAUAAAAAUAAGAUGACUUAAGAAACGUAUUUAUGGUAUAUAUACACAGAAAAAGAAUGAAAGUUUGAGGGGGUAUUGCCUCUGGGAGGAAGAGUUAUGAGUAGUUUGUAUUUCCUUUUUUGUUAAUCUGUAUUUCAUUUUUUAGGCAAUGCAAAUAUAUUAUUUAGACAACAAAAUACUUAUUAGAAAGAAAAGACAUGGUGGGUUUUUUCCCCUUUAUUCUUUGCUUUUCUAAGAGGAAACUUUGACUGCAAUUGCUUGUGAGUGAUACCUGUGUUCUGGUAGCUUAGGAAGACACAAUGUGGUUAGGGAAGGAUAAGAACAGAUGGCUUUAAUAAAUGUACUCAAGGCUAAUGUACCCUUCAUAGUCUCAGGCUUCAGAUCAGAUCUCUUAUCUAUGCUGGCACCAGGAUGUGGUUUUGAGUUCUCUGCUUUUUCUACAGCUUUAGGGAAAUCUGCAUGCAGGCACAUCUAAUUGUCCAAACCAAAAAUCACAUCCAGGAUGUGAGGCAGCCUGGGAGAGGUCAUUUUGAGUUCUGUAGUCUCCGAAGUAUAAAAACACAUAAACAUGUAUACAUACACACAUUAACACCCACACACUUUUGAAGGAAGAUGGAAUGGAAGACAAGCACCACAGUGAAACUUUAGAAGAAUUUCCCUUACAUUCAGGAAAAAAAGAUAGAGGGUCCAUUUUCAUCACUCUUAUUGCCAUUGUCUAGAAGAUAAGCCGUAAUAAGAUAAAAUAAAAAGUGUAUAGAACACUUGGAAAAAAAUAUAAAAGAUUGGUCCCAUUCUCCGAUGGCAUGAUAUUCAAAUGAAGAACCAACUAUAAACAGGUUGUUAUGAGCUGAAUGUUAAUGUGACCCCAAAAUUCAUAUGCUGAAAUCUUAACCCCAAAGGUGAUAGUGUUAGAUGGUGAGGCUUUUAGGAGUUGACACAGUGUAAUGCCUCUUCUAUGAAGAAGUGGGCCUUUGUCAGUUACCAAAUCUGCAGAGGCCUUGAUCUUGAACUUCCCAGCCUCCAGAGCUUGGAGGAAUGAAUGUUUAUUGUUUGUAAACCACCCAGUUUAUGGUAUUUUAUUAGAGCUGCUCAAAGGGUCUAAGACACAAGUAUAAGUCAUAAGUAAAUGCAUCAAAUUUGCUGAAUAUAAAUCAACAUAUAAAAAAUCAACAGCAUGCUUGGAUCCCUGGUAUGAAUCACAUCUGGUCAUGGCAAAUAAUCUAAAAAAAAAUAAUAAAAUAAUCAAUUUAAAAAAUUUAAAAAGCAACAGUAUUUACUAUUCAUUGCCAAUGACCAAUUAGAAAAUGGCAUAAACAUGACAUCUGUGAUAAGACAAAUACUCUAAGGUAACUAGAACUACAAGUAAUAAAAGAUGUGUACAGUUUACAGAGACGAUUGUAGAAAGCCAAAAAAAAUUAAAAGUGAAAACCUAAAUGGGAAGAAGCAUCAUGUAUAUUGGGUCAUAGUAGAUAUCAUAAUAUAAAUUAUAAAAUACAGAACAAAAUGAUAUAAAAUACUAAAUUUCAAAAUGUGUUGGAUAUAGCUAAAGCAGCACUAAAGAGGAAUUUAUAGGUUUAAAUACACGUAUUGGGGGAGGAAAGAGAUAAAGUUUGAUAUGGCGGUAAGCAUCCACUUAGGGAAAAGUACAAAAAGAAAAUAAUAGUAGAAAGUAAUAAAAUAGAAAAUAUAAAAGAGGUUUUUUAAAAAAUACUUACAAAAUGGACAGUCUUUAUGGGGAUUGAACAAGAACAAAGAAAGAAGGCACUGAUAACCAAUGUCAAGGAUAUGGAAGUGGAUAUGUGGAUAUAACUAAAAUGCUGCAGUUAUUCGAGAUAAGAGUAUUAUAAGUAACUGUAAGAUAACACAUUUAAAAACUUGGUCGAAAUGGUCAAAUUUGUAGAAAAGUAUAUCUCAACAAAACUGAUUCAAGAAAAAUAACCCAUUAAAAAAUAAAUCAGCAGUUACCUUUUAUUUAUUUAUUUUUGACAAGAAAAUAUCAAAUGGUUUUACUGGCAAGAUCUGCCAAAUAUUCAAGAAACAAGUAAUUUCAAUUUUGGACAGAAUUUUCCAGAGAAGAGAAAAUGGGAAGAGGGUUGUUCCUCAUUUUAUGAAGCUAGUAUACACAUCAGUGCCAACAUUUGACAAGGGAAGUUUGAAAAAGGAAAAUCACCGACUAAUCUCUCCCAUGAGCAGAGACUUAAAAAAUUCUAAACAAAAUAUUUGCCAACCAAAUCCGAAUAUAGAAAGGAUUGUACACCAUGAUCAAGUUGAGCUCAUCCUAGGAAUGUUUCCUUUAUGGUAACAUUCGGGAAAGCAAAAUACAUGGGUGCACAUGCAAGAGGUAGGAGAUUGAGACUGGGAGUCUGUAGAACUUCUGAUUUCAUCCAUUUUUUGCAAGUGAAUUAGAUUUUCUUUAAAAAGGUUAUUGGGUGAAGGCGCAGAUAGAGGAGCAGGUCUUGGAGAUUUAAGGGGAAAGGAAGUAUGAUACAGUCUUCUAGAAGACUGGAAGAGUAAAUGGAAUAUAGCGUGAUUGCAUUGGGGCUCCUCUGAGCUUUAUGGGCAUGAAUUUAAAGAUUAUUUGAGGCCCUGGUUUGUGCAGUAAGAAAAAUUUUGUUUAGGGAUUAGGAAGGAAGAAAUAAAACUAAAAAUCUCCCAUUAUUCACAGAUGACAUGAUGAUUCUUAUAGAAAACCCAAAAGAUAUUACUACAUCAAUAUAGAAAACUCAAUUACAUUUCUUUAUUUUUCUUUUUCUUUUCUUUUUUUUUUUUUUUUGCUUUAAGUUCUAGGAUACAUGUGCAGAACGUGCGGGUUUGUUACAUAGGUAUACAUGUGCCACGGUGGUUUCCUGCACCUAUCAACCCGUCAUCUAGGUUUUAAGCCCAGAAUGCAUUAGGUAUUUGUCCUAAAACUCUCCCUCCCCUUCCCCUACUCCCCCCAACAGGCCCUGGUAUGUGAUGUUACCCUCCCUGUGUCCCUGUGUUCUCAAUGUUCAACUCCUACUUAUGAGUGAGAACAUGCGGUGUUUGGUUUUCUGUUUCUGUGUUAGUUUGCUGAGGAUGAUGGUUUCCAGCUUCAGCCAUGUCGCUGCAAAGGACAUUAACUCAUUCGUUUUUCUGGCUGCAUAGUAUUCCAUGGUGUGUAGGCGCCACGUUUUCUUUAUCCAGUCUGUCAUUGAUGGGCAUUUGGGUUGGUUCCAAGUCUUUGCUAUUGCAAAUAGUGCUGCAAUAAACAUAUGUGUGCAUGUGUCUUUAUAGAAUGAUUUAUAAUGCUUUGGGUAUAUACCCAGUAAUGGGAUUGCUGGGUCAAAUGGUAUUUCUGGUUCUAGAUCCUUGAGGAAUCACCACACUUUCUUCCAUAAUGGUUGAACGAAUUUACACUCCCACCAACCAUGUAAAAGCAUUCCUAUUUCUCCAUGUCCUCACCAGCAUCUGUUGUUUCCAGACUUUUAAAUGAUCAUCAUUCUUACUGGCAUGAUAUGGUAUCUCAUUGUGAUUUUGAUUUGCAUUCCUCUAAUGGCCAGUGAUGAGUUUUUCUUAUGUUUUCUGGCCGCAUAAAUGUCUUCUUUUGAGAAGUGUCUGUUCAUAUCAUUCACCCACUUUUUAAUGGUUUUUUUCUUGUAAAUUUAAGUUCCUUGUAGAUUCUGGAUAUUAGACCUUUGUCAGAUGGAUAGAUCGCAAAAAUUUUCUCCAAUUCUGUAGGUUGCGUGUUCACUCUGAUGAUAGUUUCUUUUGCUGCGCAGAAGCUCUUCAGUUUAAUUAGAUCCCAUGUGCCAAUUUUGGCAUUUUUUGAAAAUGCUUUUGGUGUUUUAGUCAUGAAGUCUUUGCCCAUGCCUAUGUCCUGAAUGGUAUUGCCUAGGUUUUCUUCUAGGGUUUUUAUGGUUUUAGGUUUUAUGUUUAAGUGUAAGGAGGGAUACAUUUAAGCCAAAAAGGACAGUCUACAUCUCUGCUUAUUGUCCCAAGGCAGCAGAAAUACAAUUCAUAGAUCCCAACACUUAGCCUUCCCCACCCUAGUCACACAGCAUCCCUCAGCCUGCCAAGGGAAUUGGUUCUGCAGACACGAGGGAUUUGCCCGGGGAUAAAGACCCCUUCUGGUUCAGACAUCAGGAGAUACAAAUGCAAUACACCACAGCUGACACAACUGGACAUCUUCAGUGUUGCAGUCUCACCCUAUCUCUCUGCUUGCCAGCUCCAGCUCAUCGGGCCAGUUAUGAGAAGGAAAACAUAUUUUCUAAAAGCUUUCUUAAGUGUUCACAUGGCCAGCUGCCCUUGUUUGUUCUCCUGAGUACUGAGGUCACUGGAAGCCACAAAACCCAGCUGGGACCACUUCAAUGAGUUAUGCUCCAGGGAAAAUUAUGGUGUGAAAAGGUAAAAGGAAAUUUUGGAAACUGGUGGAAUCUUCAUGGAAGUGUCACCCUGGGCUAAUACCAAGGAUCUGACAUAGACAAAAGUAUGAAUUACUCUGCAGGCUCAGCGCCAAGGGCAAGGUCGUAAGAGCCUGAGAUGGUCUUAACAAAUUAAGUGAGGCAGGCAAAGUUCAGUUGCUUACUGUGAGCUGGACCCUUCUACAUUAUUAUUUUUAUCAUGGAGUCCAAUGUCCCCAUGUUGAUCCUAACAAGCCAAGUCCCACAUUGCAUCAUCCCACAUGGGCCGGCCUUCUCUGGGCAAAACUUCAAGAUGUGAAACUCCUUUUUUCUCCUCUCAAAAUGUGCCAGUCCUGAGUCUCCUGUAUUGGGUUCAUUAAUGUUAACAUACUUUUUCUGGUCUGCUACAAUGAUCCAGGCACUGCACUAUAGUCCAAAGGCACAAAACAAUAAAUUAGACUUGCCCCUUGUUCUCAGGACUGAAAAUGGUUCCAUUCACCAAAAAAACAGGUGAAAGUUUACCCAGCACCUAAACCUGUACUAAUGUAUUAAUUAAUGCAUCACAGUUUAUUUAUUCUACACUUAUUUUACUUGCCCCUGUAAUAUACCACUAGAUGCUUCAGUAUGGGAGAUAUUGAACUCUAAAGUUCUAAGGGUGCUGUGGUGGAGAUAUGGACAUAUCUCAAAAUUAGCAGGAAAUUUAAAUAGCGAUUUUAAGAGAAAGUAAGAUCUGGUUAUGAGAAAGGAUGAAGCUACUCUGGGUGAGAGAAAACUGAGAACUAUGCCCUAGGAAUAUCCAACAUUUAAAGUGUAAACAAAGAAAGUAAAGACAGAGAUGACAACUGAGAAAGAGUGGUAGUCACAGGAGACUCAAGUGAGUGUAGCUGGAAGAUGUCAUCAGAACCCUAGUUAAUAACAUGUGGUCUACCAUUGCUACAAUACAAUGCCCUCCAGCCAUCUCAGGCAGGUGGGCCUUUACUUUCCUCAAAUUACAUUCACAGAUGAACAACCCAUGCUCUAUGAAGGAGUCGGGCCUGCAUACUAUCCUUCCCAAUGAGGGAGAUGUGACAGUUCAGGAUUCAGGAAAGGACCAAAUGGACUCACCAGGCAAGUGUGCUUUAGGAUGGAGGGCAGGGUUGGCUCUGUGCCAGGAGUGUAGAUUUCAUCUGUUGGCUGCAAAUGUGUGCCAGUUCCCAAUGGAAUGCUACUGUUCUCUGACCUGCCCUCAACUCAUAACACAAGUCACAAUUCACUGGAGUUUCACAGUACGUUUCUGUGGAUGUUUGGAAUCAGAAAUGCAGACUCACAGAAUAGCUGUAUAGGAUUUAAAGAGAAUCGGCAGAGUUCAGGCUGCUCAUUUUACAGAGGAGGAGGCUGAGUCUGAAGACUUACUAAUUUGGCCAGGGUUGCAUGGCAGUUUAGCAGAGUAGUUAAACAAAUGGGCUUGAAACUCAAAGAGUCCCUGAGAAUCUUAAAUUGUGUGCCUUAGGCAAGUCUGCUAAAACUGCUAUGUCUCAGUUAACUCCUCUUAAAACUGAGUAAGAAUAACAUAUAUAUAUAUAUAUCAUAUAUUAUGAUACAUGAUAUAUACAUAAUUCAUGUAUUAUAUCAUGAUACAUGAUAUAUAUGUAUUAUUCAUGUAUAUGAUACAUGAUACAUAUAUCAUGUAACCUAUGAUAUAUAUCAUAUAUGAAGAUUAUAUAUAUAUCUCAGAGGUUAUUUGUAAGAGAUGAGAUAGUGAAUUCAAAGCACUUAGCAUGACAGCUAGCAUAUGGUGACACAGCUAUCAUGCAAAGCCAAGUCUUCUGACUCGUACUUUAGUGCUCUUUCCUCUGAACCAUGAUCCCUCCUUUAAAUAGAGAAGUUAAAAAUGAACUUACAGAGACAUUCUAUGUGUACCAACCCAACACUAUAGCACUUGAUUUAUGCAUUCAUUUUUAUAACAACUAUCAUUUGAGCAUCUAUGUACCAGGGUGCUGAUGUAACCAUGCUGAGUGCUGAGGUACUCAUGCUGAAUCAGAUGUGAUCUCUUCCCACUAAGGAGAGAGAAGAUUGUGCCUAUGGUAGCCAGGAAUGAGGUGCACUUGCAAGGAGUAGGGAGGAGUGGGGAGAGUCUAGAGGCAAGGAGAUGAGAUAGAAAGUUCUUGCCCUAAUUUAGGCAAGAGGCAGCAGGGUCCUGAAUUACCUUGGAGAAAAUGGAAAUUAGGGGAAAGGACAAAGAAAUGAGGUAGGAACAUGAGACUUACCCUUGACACAUGAUUAUUAUGUUUAUGAAAUAUUUGUUUUUGUGUUUCUGACAAGCAAUUUGCCUCCAGAAUUGCCAAAUGAGUCUGGUUGUUACUCCAGACUCAAGGUAACAUCUGCUUAUUGCUAGUGCAUAGACCAGGGCAGGUGAUGGGCUUUAGGCCUCUUAUCUAGCGUCUUACACAAAAUUGCAAGUAGACCCAGAAUUACUAGUGCCAGGGCUGCAGAAAUAGGAACUGUUUAGCCAGGUCUAUGACCAUCUGUUUUCCCUCCUGCCAAAUGCAUCGAGGGCAUGAUAGAUCUGGCUUAGAUGGUAACAAAGUGAGAGCAGAGUUGAGCAAAUAGACAAAUGUUUAUCUUUUGCAGGAAUGUGCACUUGGCUCUGGGGAUUGUAGCUGUCCAUCAGCAUCCACACUGGAUGAAACUGCUGAAGGAAGGGGCUCCGAAAACACCCACUUUCCUCAGCCUCUGCGGCCUUAACUCCAUGUGCCAGCAGGUCAGGCUAACAGGCUGUGGUGCUAAAGGCAUCAGGCAGACAUAUCUACUGGCCCAUUAAGAUUCUGUACCUAAACACUACCCACCCCGCCCACCCUGCCCCAGUGAUGGCCCUGCCUUUCCUGCCAGGCCUGCUCUCCUCCCCAAGAAAGGGAAAAUGGUUAGCAACUUUCAGAAACUAAAACAAACACAAAAGUUUGCCAACAUUAAACUCUGCUUCACAGCUAAAUGGACCAUAAACUUUCAGCACCUUGAACAAAACUUCAAUUCAAUCCCUUCUACAGGUGCUGUGGGCACAAAGACUGCACAGUGUAUUUUUGCCCUGGGAAAGAGUCUCAAAUUAUUAUUUUUGUAAAAAAAAAAAAAAAAAGAAAAGAAAAAGUUGCCUGGAAAAAAGUUUCAUUUUGUGCUUAGAAAAACAAGCCAAGAGGCAACGCACACCCCCUUUCUCUCCAUUCUCACUUCCCUGCACUCUCACGAGAAGAUUCCAGCCCACCUUGAAACCCAGCAUGGAUACUAGAGAAGACAUCUUUUUCUCCAGUUUUCAAAUAAGCCUCCAGGAUGAGGCACACGCAGACCUUUCCUGCUAGCCUGUAAUUCACCACCUUCUAAAAGGACCAGGUCAUGAUACAAAUGAAAGCAAUGAAAAGCACAGGCCUGCAUGCCCAAGGUCUGAGUCUUGCUCCCUGUCAUCUUCGGUGUGACCUUAGCGUGUCACUUGACCUCUCAGGUCUCACAUUUAGCAUCCAGACAACUCAGGACUUAAGUUCUCUUACAGCUCUAAAAUUCUGUAUGGGAAUGACAUCAAUAAAGUAAUAUAAUUUUUUGUUCAAACCAGCAAAGAUGUGCAAAUACAAGGGGUAGUGAAUAGCAAUUAUGCCUGGCAUCCAGCAGAACUGUGCUGGGAACCAAGACCUGUGGUUCUGAGGGCUGUCCAGAGAGCGCCACGGCCAUUCGCGUGCUAAACCUUUGCAACCUGAGCCCAGUAACAGGAACACAGAACAUUCUCCAGGAGUCUGGGGCCUUGCCUCCAUUCUCCAGCUGCUCCUCUCCCAUUGUUUUCCCUCUCUACACGACUGCCCUUUCUUGGGCUCCCCAUGCUCUAAGUUAAGUUGGCAGCAUGGCAGAGAUUGAGAGCACAGAUUCUGGUCUCAGACUGCAUGGGCUCAAAUUACAGCUUCAUAAUUUACCACAUGAUCUUGGGCAAGUUACUUAAACUCAAAGAUAGACUUUUCAAACAUUUUUUCACUGCAAUCCACAGUAAGAAAUAUAUUUAACAUAAAUAAUACUCUACGUGUGUGCACACACACACACAUACUCACAUAAAUUAAAAGAUUAAUAAAAAAUAAUUAUUUUUGAUAUUUUGUGAGCACCAUUUGAUUGGUCCUAUUCUAUGUAAAUUUCUAUAAAUGCUAGUCAUAAUCCAGCAAAUUGAUUUCAUGGUCUACUAAUGGUUUCAGACCCACAAUUUGAAAAACCCUGUUCUAAGCUUUAGUUUUCUCAUCUGUAAAAUGAAGAUAAUAUAAAUAAUAUCCUCUCUGUGGAGUUGUUAUGAAGAUGACUAAAAUGUUCAUAUAAAAGCGUUUGGCCACAGUGCAGGGUGGCUCACGCCUGUAAUCCCAGCACUUCGGGAAGUCAAGGCAGGCAGAUCACAUGAGGCCAGUAGCUCAAGACCAGCCUAGUCAACAUGUUGAAACCCUGUCUCUACAAAAAGUACAAAAAUUAGCCCAGCAUGGUGGUGCACACCUGUAGUCCCAGCUACUCAGGAGGCUGAGGCAGGAGAAUCACUUGAACCCGGGAGGUGGAGGUUGCAGUGAGCCAAGAUGGCACCACUGCAUUCCAUCCUGGGCAACAGAGUGAGACUCUGUGUCAAAAACAAACAAACAAACAAACAAAAGGUUUAGCUUGGAAGGUAAUAAGUGCUCAGUGAAUAUUAGUGUUAUUAUUACUCAAGGAAGGGCAUCAGUGUGAAAUAAAUCUUAUACUUCAAGUCCAAAAGGGAAGCUCCCAGUAAUCAUGCCCUUCAUGAACCUGUACAUGAAUCAAAUGGCUUUUCCCAUUGGGCAUGCAUGCCAUGCCAUCAAGCAAGUCAGAAUUUAAGCUUCUGUGCAGGUCAGUGAAGACAUGGUGCUUGCCACUGCAGCAGCAGCCAUCUUGCACACAUGAGGUGCCACACCUGAGGAAGGAAGAACAAAGCAAUGGAAAGACCAGUGUUUUGGUAUUACUGAGUUGCUGAACCAAUCCUGGAACUGGAUCUCAGGCUUUUUAUUUAAAUCAAUAAAAUCUCCUGAUGUUUAAAAGGCAAUUUUAUGCAAACCAGCUCAUUACCUCCUACAGUGUCCCUUCCCUCACCAACAGGAAGUGGCUCCACAUUUCAAUUGCCUUUUUGCCCUUGAGAAUCAGCAUUCCCUAAACCACCACUAUUAAAUUUGGGACUCUGAAACCACAGAAAUACCCUACAGUAGGAAAUCCCCCUUGGGUGCCUAGACUCUCUAUCACCUUUGCAAAGCUUUUAAGUAAAAAAGGAAAACCUCAGGCUUCCCACUUAGCCAUGGAAAGUGGUACCACCUUCAGAGGAAAGAUGGGGGAUUCAGGAGCACCACCUCCAAUUUUAGGAGGUGCCCCUGAUUUCCUCAAAUACUGACAGGUAAUUUAACCUAAACAAUGGAGAGGAGCCCUGCUUCAAGAUGCAGUGCUAGGCUCACCCUGACCAGCACUUGGUAGAUAAGAAAGAGAAAACAACUUACAAAUUCUUCAGUGAUGCUUGGCUCAGUACUUAGCUCGCUGGCUGGCUGACUUUGCAACUACUUCUAGUUAAGGGUUCCAAAGGACUGGAAGGUAAAUAACCAGCAAGGUGUCGUAACACUGAGACAGAGUGAAAUAUUAUUUCCACCCUCUCGUGACCUCGGUGGCCAUUUUCCAGCUCUAGGGCCAGUCUGCACAUGACGAUGAGUGGUAUCUGAUGGCUGGUCCUGGCAUGAAGUGUGAGGGAAUGCCAGUUUAGGACUUGAACCUUCCAUCUCCCACUGAUUCCAGUCAGAGUAAUCCAAACCUAGUCUGUCUUUUCUUUCCCUUAUGCUGCAAACUUUCCCCUGUUUUAGUCAAAAUACACCAGCUUAGUAAUUCUGGCUGCCACAGACUGAAUUUUGAGCCUCACCAGUUUCCAAAUAAUUAAGACAGAGAAAGUGAGUUAAAUAAAAUAUGGCCAGAUUAAAUAAACAAUUCGGUACUUUAGGAGAAGAAUUCAGGCUGGGUCUAAGAUAGGCGCCUAGCGCAGGGCUCUGCAGCAGACAUAAGGAAGUCUUAAGUUGGUUUUCAAUAGGUGUACCUAAGGGUGCAUUUGAUAACAACAACAAAAAGAGAGAUGGAAGCAAAUAUUUAACAAGCACCUAUUAUCUAUCAGGCACUACAUAUACAUUCUCUCAUUUUCUUCUUACAAAGUACACGUAUCCUAGCAAUUAUUUCCAUUUUAAAAAACUGAAAAUGAAAAAUUACUUGCUCAAGAUCAUAAAGCAAGUAAACAUUAGAAUUAGGAUUUAACCCUAGGCCCUUCUUGUGCAGGAGUCAUGCUCUUUCAAGCACACUGUGCUGUCCCCCGGGAAGAGUGAGGGUUAUCAGGAAAAGCAGUGGAAUGGCAGAAAAGAAGAAGGGGAAGGAUUUUAAAACAGGGAAAAGAAAGGACAGAAAUACAUAAAAAUAAGAAAUGGGAACAGGAAGGACUGCAAAGAUUAAGGAAGAACGGUUGGUGAGUACCUUGGCUAUUUAGUGGAAUUUGGUGAUUCAGAACUGGGAAUGGACAGUAAGCCCCUUCAAAUACCCUGGGGAAGCCAAGAUUGUCAUGGAGCUGUUCUUUUCUCUAUCUCAAGUACAAAUGUCUCAAAGAACUCUAAAAGCUACUUAAAGCAAGAGCAAGGAACUCAAACUAAGUUCUUAUUGAGUGGUGGCCAAAAAACAAGCUGGACGAGUUUCCAGAUGAUACUGCCGGGAUGAUUCUUUUAGCUGACAGUUACCAAAAAGGAAGGCUUUCAGGACAUGUCAAUAGCAGAUCUUACGCCUUCUCUGACCUCGGCCUUCCUCAGAGUCUUUUAGCUGUAAUGAGCAAAUAUUAGCAUAAGAGACAGGGACCAAAUAUUUGUUUAGUGUCUGUGUUGAUUAUUAAGCUGUUGCCUGUAAACUCCACACUCACCCUUCAUUCUCAGCUUUGUGUUGCUGGGGCUGGGCCUCUGUAAUCACAUUUCAGCUUUGCCAGAGGGAUUUCUCUUAGGCUGCCAGUAGUGGGGCACUAGAGGGAGUCUGGAGGCAGUGGGGAAGAAGGGAUUUGUUCCUUCUGUUUUUUUGCUGGUCCUGUCAGUAUCAUCCCAGCAGCCCUUAGCUCCAGUUUGCAGUUAUUUUCCUCACUACAAGAACACACUCCCUCAGUGAUAGCGUCUGUCAACCAGAACCUCCUCCCCAGAUAUUGAGUCCCUGUUUUGAGGGUCCCUGCUCUGAGUCUCCAACGCACCUGCCUCCACCAGGCAGCACCCCUCCCUCCUGGUCCAGUUUCCAGCUCUGCAGGGCCCUCCUCCAAGCUUCCAGAUCCCAGGCACCUGACGCAUCCCUUUUGUUCUCUCAGCCCUAGGGGUAGCGAUUGCUUCCUGCAGUUGCUAGCUCCGUGACCCUCCAGUGGUCCUCCUCCUCACUUUCAGUGCUUCAAUUCCUUAUAUUAAGUAUUCUUUAUUAGGAAAACUGAUGGGUGUCUGUUUUCUGGACUGGCCUUUACCUGAUUUGUUAUCACUUCUGUCUACGUCCAGGACAAUAUUGAGCAAUAUUCUGAGGCUAUACUGUGUUAAAAGGAAACUUCAGACAAAUUAAAUUUAACAGAGUUUAACUGAGCAAGAAAAAAAAAUUCAUAAAUUGGGCAGCCUCCAGAAUCACAACAGAUUCAGAGAGAGUCCAGGGAUGCCUUAUGGUCAGAACAAAUUUAUAGACAACAAAAGGGAAGUGACGUGCAGAAAUCAGAAGUGAGGUACAGAAACAGCUGGACUGAUUACAGCUCAACAUUUGCCUUUUUUGAACAAAUCUGAACACUCAGCAGUGUAUGAGUGGUUGACGUAUGGCUGCUGUGAUUGGCCAGACCUCAGCUAUUGUUACAGGCACAUACUCUUAAGUCAGGUUUUCAAUCCUAUCUGACUAUAAAGUUAGGUUACAGUUUGUCCUCAUGGACUCAAAUUUAGAAGUAUGGCGUCCUUCUCAGGCCAUAUUUAGUUCAGUUUAACAAGUGCAUAUGGCUUCUGACAAAGGUGUGGCCCCUUUAGGACUCCAAAGACGCUGUCACUUACAUGGUAUUCAGGGAGGACACAGAGGAUCUGUGAGCAGCCUGCAGCCAAGCUUUGAGAUCAUAUUGAGAUUUUUUUGUAAUAUAUGAGGAGUGUUCUGGCUCCUUUUAUUACUUUCUUCAUAGCAAAAAUUGGGGGUCCAAGUUGUCGUUAAAUUGAAACUCUCUCACUUACCCUGAAAAAGAUUUGACUGUGAGCAUAACAUUGUUACUUCAUUCAAGACAUGGAAGCAAAAGGGUUAAUUAGUGCUGCUCACAAAAUAGUUCUACUUUUUCUUCUUCCAAUUAUAUGAUUGGAUAACCCUUCCCUCCCUUGAAGUCAGGGUUGCCAUGUGGCUUACUUUGGUCAAUAGAAUAUGAUUGAGAGCAAUACUGUGGUACAUCCAUACAGUGGAAUAUUAUCCAGUGAUAAAAAAAAAAAAAAAAAGGAAAGAAAGAAAGCCACAAAAAGACAUGGAAGAGAGCCAAGCGCAGCGGCUCAUGCAUGUAAUCCCAGCACUUUGCGAGGCUGAAGUGAGUGGAUCACUUGAGCUCAGGAGUUCAAGACCAGCCUGAGCAACAUGGCAAAACCCCAUCUCUAAAAAAAAAUACAAAAAAAUUUUAGCUCAGUGUGACUCUGUGUGCCUGUAGUCCCAGCUACUGGGGAGGCUAAGGUGGAAGGAUCACUUGAGCUCAGGAGGUCAAGGCUGCACAAAGCUGCAAUGAGCAGAAAUCAUGCUUGGGCAACAGAGAGAGACCCUGUCUCAAAAUAUGUUAAUGAGAGAGAACUCUGGGCAAGGGGGUGGAGGGGCAGAGGAGGAGUGUGGGGAAGGGGAAGGAGUGCAUACCUGGAAACUCUACUUUCUGCAUAAUUUUUCUAUAAACCUGAAAUUGCUCUAAAAAGUAAAGUCUAUUUAAAAAUAAUAAAUAAGAAAGAAAUAUGAAUAUCACUUGUGUCACUUUUGUGUCAAAGCAUUAACGGCCAGCACAUGAUUUGCCUUGCCACUCCCUUCCUCUUGGUCUGUAGUCCAAUGCUCUACCUCUGAGCUAUACCCCUUCCUUGCCACUCCCUUCCUAAAGAUAAGCCUCCCUCAUUGGAUUAGAAUUCUCCGGAGAGACAGAGACAAUAAGAUAUAUAUAGAGAGAGAUGGAGAGAUAGAGAUAGGAAUUAUCACAGGAUUAUGGAGGCUGAGAAGUCCCGCAAUAAGCCAUCUAUAAGCUAGAGAACCAGGGAAGCCAGUAAUAUGAGUCAGUCUAAGCCUUAAGGCUUCAAAACCAGAGAUGUCAAUAGCAUAACUUUCACCACAAGACUGAAGGUCACAAGGCUGAAUGCCUGAGAAACUGGGGGGUCACUAAUCCAAGCCCCAGAUUCGAAAGGCUGGAUAGAGAACCUGGGGUUCUGAUGUCCAAGGGCAGGAGAAUAAGGGUGUCCCAGCUCCAGAAGGGAGUGAGCAAAUUCACCUUUCCUCUGGCUUUUUGUUCUAGUAGGACCUGAGCCAUAUGGACGAUGCCUGUCCACAUUGGGUGAGGCCACAUCUUCCUCACUCAGUCCACUGAUUCAAAUGCCAAUCUCUUUUGGAAACACCCUUAUAGACAUGCCCAGAAGUAAUGCUUUAUCAGCUAUCUGGGUACCACUUAAUCUGGUCAAGUUGACACCUAAAAUUAAUUAUCAUCACAACUCAUUCUGGUUCUGUUAGUGAGAAUAAUCAAGAAUGCAUCCCUAGCUCGUCACUUCCAAUGAGCCAGUCUUCAGUGGACAUGCACCCUGAGUGGAAAAAAAGUAAAAACUGUUUCUAUUGUUGUUUUAAACAACUUAGAUUCAGAGAUUAUUUGUUAUUGCAGGAUAACCUAGCUUAUCCUGACUAAUACAGAGAGAGGAAGUCCUCCUUUAAUCUCCAACAGAAAUAUUAAACAGCAAUCAAUCACACAAUAUUGGUUAAAAAAACAAAGAUAAUAAUCAUUGUUAUUAUUUUCAUUAUUUCUGGAAAUAAAUUUAAAACUAUUGAAAAAACUUACUUUUAAAAUUCUCAACAUCACUAAUCAUCCAGGAAAUGCAAAUCAAAACCACAAUGAGAUGUCAUCUCACCUCAGUUAAAGUGGCUAUUAUCAAAAAGACAGAACAUAGCAGUUGCUGAUGAGGAUACAGAGAAGGGGAAGUUCUCCUACACUGUUCAUGGGAAUGUAGAUUAGUAUGGAAGUCCAUCAGAAAACUAAAAAUAGAACUACCAUAUGAUCCAGCAAUCCUACUGCUAGGGAUGUAACCAAAAGAAAGGCAAUCAGCAUAUAAAAGAGAUAUCUGCACCUCUUUGUUUAUUGCAGCACUAUUCACAAUAGCCAGAUUAUAGAAUCAACAUAUGUGCCCAUCAACAGAUGAAUGGACAAAGAAAAUGUGGUAUAUAUUCACAAUGGAAUAUUCAUUCAUAAAAAAAUUAAAAUCCCAUCAUUUGAAGCAACAUGGAUGUAACUGGAGGAUAUGAUGUUAAAUGAAAUAAGCCAUGCACAGAAAGACAAAUAUCACAUGUUCUCACUCAUAUGUGGGAGCUAAAAAGGCUAAACUUAUGGAGGUGGGGAGUAGAAUGGUGAUUACCAGAGGUUGGGAAGUGUUGAAGUCAGAGAGGAAGAGAACUUGGUUAAUGGGUACAAAAAUACAGUUAGAAAGAAGGAAUAAGUUCUAGUGUUCACAGUAGAACAAACAUAAUUAAUAAGAAUUUAUAGUAUAUUUCAAAAUAGCUGCAAGAAAAGCAUUAUAAUGUUCCCAACACGAAGAAAUGGUAACCGUUUCAGGUGAUGGCUAUCCCAACUACCCUAAUUUUAUAAUUAUACAUUAUAGGUAUGUAUCAAAAGAUCCCAUGUACUCCACAAAUAUGUACAACUAUUAUGUAUCAAUAAAGACAGAAAAAACAUUAUAUAUAAUUACAUAAUACAGACAUAAUGAAUAUGAAUCAACUCUUAGUAUAUAUGAGGAAGAAGUGCUUGAAAAAUUUCUGUAAUUUUAAUCAUUAAAAACCUAGUCUCCAGAAUUAAAUUUUAUUCACUUAAUCAAGUCUUGUUUCAGGAGAGAGAGACAGAUAUAAAGAAAGGGUAUAGCUACUUGAACAAGGGAGGCAGCAUCCAAAUGACAGCCUGCAUGUUGUUUAUUCACACAGAGUAACUGCUGGCCAAAAUAAUAUCUCCCGAUGUUCAUUUAGUGUUGACAGAAAUGGUGAGAAUAUUCAAUACUAUCAACUUUCAGCCACUGAAUGUGCUUAUUUUGAGAGCACUGUUCAAAGAAGUGGAUUCUAGCUAUAAACACUGCUUUUCCCCCCACUUAAAUAGUCUAUUGAAGAGGAAAAUACCCAUACACAUUAGUAAAAUGAGAAAUGAGAUAAAAAUAUUGUUUCCUUACUCUAAUGCCGACGAAGAAUAAUGGUAUGAUUUAAGGGACCUAAGUAAAUAGCAUAUCCCAGUAAUAUAAUCAGUAUUGUGAGCCACCUAACUCUCUCAUUCAAAGCCAAGGUGUGGAGAUUCUUAAGAUCAAAGAUAAGUGGUCGGAAUUUCUUAAGAGGGCCGACCAUGUGGGCAAGGGCUUUGUUGUUCAGACUUCGACCCUUCCCCAGAGCCUGAAGAUUUUCUUUAGAAAACAAAGUCAAUGCCACGACUGGACCUUUCAACACCACACCCAAAUGCUGCAACAGAUGAUAUCACUUUCCAGGGUAAACACAAGCAGUGUAUUCUGAGGCCACUGGCCCGACUUCCCAGGUUGACUCAUCCUGCCUUCCAGCCUUGAAGGGCAAUAUCCUUACCAACAUGUGAUCUGAAGGAGCUCUGAACCCUCCAGUGAGACAUCAGCCCAUCAGACUCACAGAGAACAGCAGGAAGGCCAAAGACUCAAGAUUUAUCUAUCCUUGAAGUGAGCAAAAUUCCUUGUUAUUCAGUGAUGCUGAUUACAACAGGCCUCCGUUAUACGAAGGGAAAACAUCCCAGACCCCCCAGUGAAUGCCUGAAACUGGAUUCUACUGAACCCUGAGAUGGUACUAAGUGACUAACGGGUGAAUAGCGUGUACAGCAUGGAUACACUAGACAAAGGGAGGAUUCGCAUCCCGGGCUGGUCAGCAAGAGGUUUCAUCACCCCACUCAAAAUGGCAGGACCGUAUGAACCUGAAUCCAGAGAAACGGCUCAUCAGUCUCCAAUCCUCUGAUUUUCUAAACCAGGACUACAUUAUAUUAAAACCAGAAAAAGCAAUACCUCUUUUCACAGAAUGGACUUUCUGGUGGAAAUGGGAGGAACCAAAAGAAGGCUGACUUCUUCAUUUUGACACCCUGCCCUGACUGCAGAACGUGAUUUCCCUAAAAGACUGAAUGUUAACCUCAAAGCCUGGUCAACCAACAUGCAGGAGAAAUCUUGACCAAGGCUCUGAGCAUGCUGUGGUCCCAGUGGUGAGGGUGUGAUAUGCACUGUCUGUUCCUGGAGUCACAGUGCUCAUCUUGUGGUAAAGACCUCUUGGAAGAAUGUCUUCAAAGGCACAUCUCCAGCUGGGAGUCCUUGUUUCCUGAUUUUUUUUUUUAAGUUUAUGUUAUAUGAACAAAUGAGACUGCUUUCCCGGCAGGAGUAGCCCUCAGACGCCCACUGUGAGCCUACUUUCUGGAAGAAGCCAACUCAGACAGACCACAGUGUGUGCACAGCAUACGUGGCUGCUGGCUGUGGAUGAGAAAGUAUUCCUGAUCUGUCAGAAUAAUGAUUUCAGCGUGUUCUCAGCAGGUCCUCAGUGUGAUCCCAUGAGGAUACCCUCAACCCCUUGCAUGACAUGUUGUACUUGGAGUCCUUCCCCAUUUCAAUUUCAGCAUCAGUGGGAGGGAAAUAGCAAAACAGCAUUCCUUCAUGUAGAUAACCAGUAGGCAGCAGGCUACUCCUGGUUCGUAACAUAACUCCACCAGUGUAUUCUGGCAGCCGGGCUUACUUAAGGGAGAGCACAGACAUUCCCUGCUCAAAAACAAAACUGCUAAACGUGACUCCGGUAGCCUCCAUGCUCUCUGCAAGAAUAAAAUCCUUGAAGAAAAAUUGUGAUAAGAAGUCUGUCUUUGGAGUCAGCCUGAGCACAAUCUUGCAUCUCCAGUUACCACCUGGGUGGCUUUAUUCACUUAAGAAAUACCUGUAGGAUACAUACUACAUGGCAGGCAUGCUUCUCAGAUGUUAGCUCAUCUUGCUAAGCCUCCAGUAUCUUCAUCUAAACAGUGAGGAUAACAGUAUGUACCUCCUAGGGCCAUCUGAGGAAAAAGUGAGAUAGUGUGUAUAAAGCUCAUAGCACAGGGCUCAUAGAGAGGAUUUGCAGUUAGUGUUGGCUGUGGCAGGUAUUAUUCCCUUUACCCCAGCCUAUGCCAUCCUUGCCACCCCAUCAGGAGCUCCUGAUGAUGCCAGCACCUCUUGCCGAGCCCUCAUCUGGGGCAGCGUACACCUUUAACUUUUUAUUCCUCUUGGCUUUGAUAUUCAUUGACCUGGAGCUACCCACACCAGGGGGCAGCAUAAAUAAUGGCAGAAGUCACAGUCUCUGCCCUGGCUUCACACCUCCUCUUGGUAUCAGCUGUUCACCAUGCUCUUCCUACUGACUCUCUGUAGGACCAGCACCAACACCAUGUCUUAAUCUGAUAUACAUACACACACACACACACACACACACACACACGAGACACUAUAAACAGUAUAUAUGCAAAACUAUAUAUAUUACUAUGUAUCUAAUAAAUGAAACUAAAAUAUAU